rnacentral:rRNA from 1 species
CCAUGACUGGGCGCAGCCUGAUCCAGCCAUACCGCGUGGGUGAAGAAGGCCUUCGGGUUGUAAAGCCCUUUUGUUGGGAAAGAAAAGCAGUCGAUUAAUACUCGGUUGUUCUGACGGUACCCAAAGAAUAAGCACCGGCUAACUUCGUGCCAGCAGCCGCGGUAAUACGAAGGGUGCAAGCGUUACUCGGAAUUACUGGGCGUAAAGCGUGCGUAGGUGGUUGUUUAAGUCUGUUGUGAAAGCCCUGGGCUCAACCUGGGAAUUGCAGUGGAUACUGGGCGACUAGAGUGUGGUAGAGGGUAGUGGAAUUCCCGGUGUAGCAGUGAAAUGCGUAGAGAUCGGGAGGAACAUCCAUGGCGAAGGCAGCUACCUGGACCAACACUGACACUGAGGCACGAAAGCGUGGGGAGCAAACAGGAUUAGAUACCGUG